rnacentral:lncRNA from 1 species
AGUGGGCGUGCAGGAGAAGCUGUAGGUCAGGAGGUAGAGUUGGCAGUGGGCGUGCAGGAGAAGCUGUAGGUCGGAGAGGUAGAGUUGGCAGUGGGCGUGCAGGAGAAGCUGUAGGUCGGAGAGGUAGAGGUGGCAGUGGGCGUGCAGGAGAAGCUGUAGGUCGGGAGGUAGAGGUGGCAGUGGGCGUGCAGGAGAAGCUGUAGGUCAGAGAGGUAGAGGUGGCAGUGGGCGUGCAGGAGAAGCUGUAGGUCGGGAGGUAGAGGUGGCAGUGGGCGUGCAGGAGAAGCUGUAGGUCGGAGAGGGUGCAGAGUGGAGAACAGAUGAGCUGGAGUCACACCAUGCCCUAUACCCAGCCAGAGGCCGAAGUGAGCCUGUCACGGUAAUGCCACUGCCUGCUUGAUUCCCUCCCAUGCCUAGCCUGGGUUCUUCAUGAUCCCUGAGGCCCUCUUUGAUGUCAUCCCGCUGCCUCAAAACCUGUGUGUGCUGGUGGCUCCCUCUGCUUUCCUUCCAGAUGACUCCUUCGCUUCAGCUCAAAUGUCACCUUUGGCUGUUAAAAUCCUUUCCGGAGGAAGUUGUAAACAAUGCCUACCCCUCCUCCCGA